GAUGAAGAACGUAGCGAAAUGCGAUAAGUAAUGUGAAUUGCAGAAUUCAGUGAAUCAUCGAAUCUUUGAACGCACAUUGCGCCCGCUAGUAUUCUGGCGGGCAUGCCUGUCCGAGCGUCAUUUCAACCCUCAAGCCCCCGGGCUUGGUGUUGGGGAUCGGCGAGCCUCCGCGCCCGCCGUCCCCUAAAUCUAGUGGCGGUCUCGCUGUAGCUUCCUCUGCGUAGUAGCACACCUCGCACUGGGAAACAGCGCGGCCACGCCGUUAAACCCCCAACUUCUGAACGUUUGACCUCGGAUCAGGUAGGAAUACCCGCUGAACUUAAGCAUAUCAAUAUGCGGAGGA
rnacentral:misc_RNA from 1 species